rnacentral:rRNA from 1 species
AUUGAACGCUGGCGGCAGGCUUAACACAUGCAAGUCGAGCGGGGGAGGUUGCUUCGGUAACUGACCUAGCGGCGGACGGGUGAGUAAUGCUUAGGGAUCUGCCUAUUAGUGGGGGACAACAUUCCGAAAGGGAUGCUAAUACCGCAUACGCCCUACGGGGGAAAGCAGGGGAUCUUCGGACCUUGCGCUAAUAGAUGAGCCUAAGUCGGAUUAGCUAGUUGGUGGGGUAAAGGCCUACCAAGGCGACGAUCUGUAGCGGGUCUGAGAGGAUGAUCCGUCAGUCUGGAGCUGAGACACGGCCCAGAGACCUACGGGAGGCACCAGUUGGGAAUAUUGGGAUAUGGACGGAAGCCUGAUCCAGCCAUGCGGCCGGAGUGAAGAACGCCUUUUGGUUGUAAAGCACUUUCAGCGAGGACGAGGAACUUAAGGUUAAUACCCUUGAUGAGUGGACGUUACUCGCUGAAUAAGCACCGGCUAACUCUGUGCCAGCAGCCGCUAUAAAAC